UACGUAGGCAGCGAGCGUUGUUCGGAGUUACUGGGCGUAAAGGGUGUGUAGGCGGUUUUCUAAGUUUGGUGUGAAAUCUCCCGGCUUAACCGGGAGGGUGCGCCGAAAACUGGGAGACUAGAGUGCGGGAUGGGAGAGUAGAAUUCCACGUGUAGCAGUGAAAUGCGUAGAUAUGUGGAGGAACACCGAUGGCGAAGGCAGCCCCCUGGGUCAAGACUGACGCUCAUGCACGAAAGCGUGGGGAGCAAACAGG
rnacentral:rRNA from 1 species